GGUGAAGCCCAGCUUGCUGGGUGGAUCAGUGGCGAACGGGUGAGUAACACGUGAGCAACGUGCCCCAGACUCUGGGAUAACAGUUGGAAACAGCUGCUAAUACCGGAUACGAGACGUGAUCGCAUGGUCAACGUCUGGAAAGAUUUUUCGGUUUGGGAUCGGCUCGCGGCCUAUCAGCUUGUUGGUGAGGUAAUGGCUCACCAAGGCGUCGACGGGUAGCCGGCCUGAGAGGGUGACCGGCCACACUGGGACUGAGACACGGCCCAGACUCCUACGGGAGGCAGCAGUGGGGAAUAUUGCACAAUGGGCGAAAGCCUGAUGCAGCAACGCCGCGUGAGGGAUGACGGCCUUCGGGUUGUAAACCUCUUUUAGCAGGGAAGAAGCGAAAGUGACGGUACCUGCAGAAAAAGCGCCGGCUAACUACGUGCCAGCAGCCGCGGUAAUACGUAGGGCGCAAGCGUUAUCCGGAAUUAUUGGGCGUAAAGAGCUCGUAGGCGGUUUGUCGCGUCUGCUGUGAAAUCCCGAGGCUCAACCUCGGGCCUGCAGUGGGUACGGGCAGACUAGAGUGCGGUAGGGGAGAUUGGAACUCCUGGUGUAGCGGUGGAAUGCGCAGAUAUCAGGAAGAACACCGAUGGCGAAGGCAGAUCUCUGGGCCGUAACUGACGCUGAGGAGCGAAAGGGUGGGGAGCAAACAGGCUUAGAUACCCUGGUAGUCCACCCCGUAAACGUUGGGAACUAGUUGUGGGGACCAUUCCACGGUUUCCGUGACGCAGCUAACGCAUUAAGUUCCCCGCC
rnacentral:rRNA from 1 species